rnacentral:rRNA from 1 species
GAUGAACGCUAGCGGCAGGCUUAAUACAUGCAAGUCGAGGGGCAGCAGGGUGUAGCAAUACAUCGCUGGCGACCGGCAAACGGGUGCGGAACACGUACGCAACCUUCCUUCAAGUGAGGAAUAGCCCAGGGAAACUUGGAUUAAUACCUCGUAACAUUGUGAAGUGGCAUCACUUUAUAAUUAUAGCUCAGGCGCUUGAAGAUGGGCGUGCGACUGAUUAGGUAGUUGGCGGAGUAACAGCCCACCAAGCCUGCGAUCAGUAACUGGUGUGAGAGCACGACCAGUCACACGGGCACUGAGACACGGGCCGACUCCUACGGGAGGCAGCAGUAAGGAAUAUUGGUCAAUGGACGCAAGUCUGAACCAGCCAUGCCGCGUGGAGGAUGAAGGUCCUCUGGAUUGUAAACUUCUUUUAUUUGGGAAGAAACCCAUAUUUCUAAUGUGGUUGACGGUACCAGNUAGAA